rnacentral:ncRNA from 1 species
AGUUAAAGGCAAACCUAGCUGAAAAGCAGGGACGCAAAGUCACAGGUCUACGGUACCCCAUACUAGGACGGCUGGACUGCC